rnacentral:lncRNA from 1 species
GUGUAGAGCAGAGGGUUGCACGUCUGACCGAAGAUUAAGUUAUUGCAGUCAUAGCUGAUGAGGGACUGGGGAACAUUGGUUUUCACAAAUGGAAUUGCCCCUUGUCUCUUGAGCACCUGCACCAGCACGCUGUCCUCUGCCACGGGCUUAUCGAUGUUCUUCACAAACCCCAGAAUGGAGUCAUGGCCCUGGCAGUUGAUGGAGUCCUUGAUGCUGAC